ACGUAGGAUGCGAGCGUUGUCCGGAAUUAUUGGGCGUAAAGAGUUCGUAGGCGGUAUAUCAAGUCUGGUGUUAAAUCCCGGGGCUCAACUCCGGAUCGGCACUGGAUACUGAUAAGCUUGAGUGCAGCAGAGGCAAGGGGAAUUCCCAGUGUAGCGGUGAAAUGCGUAGAUAUUGGGAGGAACACCAGUGGCGUAAGCGCCUUGCUGGGCUGUUACUGACGCUGAGGAACGAAAGCCGGGGGAGCAAAUGG
rnacentral:rRNA from 1 species